CUUCAAAGAAAAUGUUGUAACAGAUACUUGUUGUGAGGCUGGUAUGGCAAGUGUGGUAUCGUUGUUAAGCUUAGACUGUAGGCUGAUCAGGCGUUAUUGUUUUGUUGCAGACAGGUUCAACCUGUGUAUUACAGA